GGAAUGUGGCUCAAGUGGUAGCGCGCUUGCCUGGUAUGCGUGAGGCACUGAGUUCGAUUCUCAGAACCA
rnacentral:tRNA from 1 species